UACAGAGGGGGCAAGCGUUGUUCGGAAUUACUGGGCGUAAAGGGCGCGUAGGCGGCCUGUUAAGUCGAACGUGAAAUCCCCGGGCUCAACCCCGGGACUGCGUCCGAUACUUCCGGGCUGGAGGUAGGUAGGGGAGAUCGGAAUUCCUGGUGUAGCGGUGAAAUGCGCAGAUAUCAGGAGGAACACCGGUGGCGAAGGCGGAUCUCUGGGCCUUACCUGACGCUGAGGCGCGAAAGCUAGGGGAGCGAACAGG
rnacentral:rRNA from 1 species